rnacentral:sRNA from 10 species
UUCUAGCCCAGAUAGGAGUGAAAAUCCUUGUUCCAAUGCGAGGUGUUGCCUCGAAUGGAGCAAGAUUGCAACGGAUAGCUGGAAAGCGC